UUUAUAGCGAAAAACCUUUCCAGGCCUUGACUUCCAUUGAACUUUUCUAGAGAUAGAUUGUUGCCUUCGGGAACAUUGAGACAGGUGUUGCAUGGCUGUCGUUCAGCUCGUGUCUUGAGAUGUUGGGUUAAGUCCCGUAACGAGCGCAACCCUUGUCCUUAGUUACCAGCACGUAAUGGUGGGCACUCUAAGGAGACUGCCGGUGACAAACCGGAGGAAGGUGGGGAUGACGUCAAGUCAUCAUGGCCCUUACGGCCUGGGCUACACACGUGCUACAAUGGUCGGUACAGAGGGUUGCCAAGCCGCGAGGUGGAGCUAAUCUCAUAAAACCGAUCGUAGUCCGGAUCGCAGUCUGCAACUCGACUGCGUGAAGUCGGAAUCGCUAGUAAUCGUGAAUCGGAAUGUCGCGGCCGAAUACUUUCCCGGGCCUUGUACACAGAGA
rnacentral:rRNA from 1 species